UGUUUGAAAAGUUAAUUUUAUAUGGAAUACAGAAUACAUAUUGUCUCAUGCUCUUUUAAAUCCUGUUGAGUAUGUGAAGUAUAUAAUGAGGUGCACCUUACAUGCAUGUAAUGUCACUGACAUGAUAUGUCGUGAUAUGAUGUAAGAUGUGUAGAUCCUCUUGGUUUUGGGGACUUCAGGUGUCCAGUGUUGGGAAUUCUGAUAUUAAAAACAUGUAUGGAGUUACACAGUCUGUGCUCGUGCUUUACCCACAGACCUAAAAUGGAAUAGUAAUAAUAUAGUUCACCCUGCAAGAAUAUCUGAGCACACAUUAUUAUUUUAAUUUCACACCUCCUGCUUUAAACAGACCAUAAAGACACGAGAAUGACAGUGAAGAUGGCAUCAGAUGAUCAAAUGAAAAGAAUCAAACAAUACUAUGAUGAGUAAAGGUUAAAAGAAAAGUGUAAAAUGUGAGUGUAAGGCAGGUUAUUUUCUGUAGUUUACAAAGUUACAGAUGUUCUUUAAACGCAUCGCCAGAAGCUAAUUGUAGUUUACGUAGCUUGCAGGAGUCCCCUAAAUGCAUCACCUUUGAACUAUCAGCAGGUGAUGUAAAAUGGCUGCACACAGAGAAACUAAAUACUUUUAUUAACUAGCGAUGAGAGUUGAAGUGGGACUGACAGUGUUAGAAAUGGAAGAAGUGCACGACUCUGCCGACCUGCUGUGAGAGAGAAGUUACCGUCUGGUGAAACUUCUUUGUGAGUUUUCUUCUGAAAGUGGAGAAUUACCCAGGUUGAGCUGUGAGCUUCUUCAUCUACUGCUACAUCAUCAUCGCACAUGUGGAUACCCUUGUUUCACCUGGACGCUGAUGUGUGGAUGUCUGUGCUGUUUAAAUGACGAGCUUGGAAAUCUCAUCUGACAGCCCGGAUCCCUAUCUGGGUGAGAUCAGGAACUAGUCAUCAGAGCCGAGACCAUCUGUUUACACGAAGACAAGCCACAGAGCUCUGACUCAGGGUUACCCAACACCGCCAGACGAGGCAGCUGACUCCCAGCGAAAAAAGGCAGCGGGGUUGCAGCCACGGCGCUUCAUAACCGUUCUGAUCUGUGAUAGUCUAAACAAAAGAAAUGGAGUGGUGUGCUGUGGAAUGUACGACGUUCAACUGAUAUAUAGAGCUGCCAAACCCAGAUCACACUCAGUCAGCAUUAGCUUUGUCUUAUAUGGUGGAUAUGAUGCAGUCUGGUCAAACGCCUACUGUAGAUCUACUGUCAGUUCUAUAAUACAGUUGUGUGCGUGUGCAUGUAUAUAUCAUGUGUGUAUAUACACUUUUCUGGUUAUUUGAUCCAUUACAAUUUCUACUAUUUCUUUUGGAGUACAAGCGCAAUGGCUAAAACAGGAGAAUAAGAAUUUAGAGGUUUGUGAAAAUCCAUGUAUUUUCUAGUGUGUAUGUCUUUCUAUUGUUGCAGGAGGGUGAGUACAGGACACCCAGUGGGAAAACUGUUCCAGCUAUAAUAUUGCAACCUGUAUUUAACCCAGCUGGAAAUAUCGUCACAGUCCCAACAUUUCUGUCGAGCAGGAAGAGUUAUUGUUCUCUUUGUUGUUGGGUCUCACCCAGAAGGUGCUUCGGGAAAUUCUGGAAAUCAAGUUAAGUCACAAAGAAAGAUGUUCUUGGAUGGGAUUGUCUAAAAUAGCAGUUUUUUCUUUUGGUCUUUUGCUGAAGUCUAGACACUGAGAAUAACAUGGGCUCUUUUUCAGCAAGUUGACAAGUUUUGUCUGCUUGGAAAGAAUAAAUCAAAUUAAAAGCAGGUCACCCAAAAUGACAAUCCUGAAUGGAUUGGUCUUUUCUUUACUUUACUUAUCCCUGAUCAGACUUUAUUGAUCAGAGUGUGUGAGAGAGAAAAAUAUUUUAUAAUUAUCAAGUGACUAUUUGAAAUAUAUUAUUGUCAAUUUAGUCUUUAGUAGUAAAUAUAAAAUAGAAGAAAUAAAAUACAAGACUUUUAAGGAAAAUUCCAAAAUAGAAAUAACAAAAUAUAAAUUAUACAAUUGAAGAAAUAUAACAUGAUAAAUACACACACAUUUAAAUAGAUAUAUAAAUUAAUAAAUAAUUCUAACAAUAAGAUGUCCUCUUGCAUGUCCUCUUUAGAGUAUUUCAGUUUGUUGAUGAAGCCAAAAAUAUUAGUUUGAAAAGUCUAGAAAUUUAAAUAAGUGUAUUUUGAAAAAGAUGUGGUCUUUGGUGCAGGGGUGGUACAUUUUAAUACACAAAAAUGAGACAAACCAAGGGACUGUGGAAAUAUCAGUAAGCCUCUAUAAGUGUGGCUAAUGCUGCUAAAAUAUUUUUAAAAAUGCGUCUCUGCAGGGUAUCAUCUUUGAAAUGCAUUUUCCACGCUAAUAAAAGCUUUUUU